rfam:Pteropus alecto contig82542, whole genome shotgun sequence.
GUCUACGGCCAUGCCACCCCGAACGUGCUCGAUCCCGUCUGAUCUCGGAAGCUAAGCAGGGUCGGGCCCGGUUAGUACUCGGAUGGGAGACCGCCUAGGAAGACCAGGUGCUGGAGGCG